rnacentral:lncRNA from 1 species
AUGAAUAUAAUAUAAGAAUUUUUUUUUGUAGUAUUAAAUGGAAUCACAGAGAAGAAGAGAGAGAUAGAGAUCAUCAUGAGCUUCCUUGAGGAUCCGAGUCGGAAGAAUUCACUAAUUCGAUUUUAGAAGAUAGUUUUUUGCUUUACACCAACGAUCCACUGCUCUGAUUUGCUAUCAUAAUAGUAUACAUAUCCAUCUUCUUCAUCUAAGGAAAAAUCUUCAUCUGAUGAGGAACUCUCAAUUUUUUCAUCAGAUGAAGAGGAAUAUUUUGUCAAAAGUCUUUGGUAUGUAGACGAAGAAGAGUCUAUUGUAUCCUCUCCUCGACCAAAUUUAAUUGCUGUUUUGGCCUUGGACUUUAACAAAUCUGUGAUAUAAAAAAAUCCCAGAACACAUGAAAAAUCACGGCAAUUAUUUUAUAUGUUUACCUUUCACUAAUAUCUCUGAUUUUUCAUGAUAUUGCGGAUACACUGUGGGCUGACAAUGUGUAUAAGUGAUAAAAUACUCAGACUCUUUCCACAUUUUAGAAGACAGUAUGGAUAUGAUGAGAGACAUGCCCAUUGUGCACAAAAUGAAGGAUGCCCAAUAGGCAUCAGAAGAAUGUGUAGCUCGAUGAUGGAUUUUGGAGAGUAAAUCUGUUUUAUUCUUCAUAACUUGCCUCAUUUUUUCAGCAUUAAUUUCCAGUUCAGAUUUGGAACUAAGAUCUUCAGGAUUACAAGGACACAUGAAUGAUGGCGUAGUGGAUCCCGAAAGGGAUAAUGAAGGCAAAGAAGUGAUAGUUAGACUUGUUGAUGUUGUCAUCUCGUCCACAUCGUUAAUGCUGAGUAUGUAAUAUCAGACAUGUAUUACUCACUGAGUGAACACUAAACAGCAUAGCUCAUAAUAUACAAAAGUCAAAACAGACGCACCUGACGAUACACUUAACCUUUUUUUUUUUACCUUUUCAUGCGUUGAUGAUGAUGAUACGUAUAUAAAAUUUAUUUCUUCAUUAAAUGUAUACAAUAUUAGCUUGAUAUUAUUAUCCUAUUAUUUUAUGAGAUAAUUAUUUACUCCCUGAUAUUACAUUUUCAUUCUACUGAUUAAAGCAAUAUAUAUAUAUAUAUGUACCUAUUCAAAAUAUAAGGUGUUUAAAAUAAGAAUAAAUGACGAAGAUUUCUUUAA